AUGGGAGACGAGAAGAAACCCAAGCCUGCUCUUGUUUCUGGUUUCUGGCCAACCAUCAAGCCUUUCGUCAAUGGCGGUGCUUCCGGCAUGCUCGCCACCUGUGUCAUUCAACCCAUCGAUAUGAUCAAGGUUAGGAUUCAACUCGGUCAAGGAUCUGCUGCAAGUGUCACAACUAACAUGCUCAAGAAUGAGGGUGUUGGUGCCUUCUACAAGGGUCUAUCGGCUGGGUUACUCAGGCAGGCUACUUACACCACUGCUCGACUUGGAACGUUUAGGAUCUUGGACAAAUAA